rnacentral:rRNA from 1 species
CUCAGGAUGAACGCUAGCUACAGGCUUAACACAUGCAAGUCGAGGGGCAGCAUGGUCUUAGCUUGCUAAGGCCGAUGGCGACCGGCGCACGGGUGAGUAACACGUAUCCAACCUGCCGUCUACUCUUGGACAGCCUUCUGAAAGGAAGAUUAAUACAAGAUGGCAUCAUGAGUCCGCAUGUUCACAUGAUUAAAGGUAUUCCGGUAGACGAUGGGGAUGCGUUCCAUUAGAUAGUAGGCGGGGUAACGGCCCACCUAGUCUUCGAUGGAUAGGGGUUCUGAGAGGAAGGUCCCCCACAUUGGAACUGAGACACGGUCCAAACUCCUACGGGAGGUAGCAGUGAGGAAUAUUGGUCAAUGGGCGAGAGCCUGAACCAGCCAAGUAGCGUGAAGGAUGACUGCCCUAUGGGUUGUAAACUUCUUUUAUAAAGGAAUAAAGUCGGGUAUGCAUACCCGUUUGCAUGUACUUUAUGAAUAAGGAUCGGCUAACUCCGUGCCAGCAGCCGCGGUAAUACGGAGGAUCCGAGCGUUAUCCGGAUUUAUUGGGUUUAAAGGGAGCGUAGAUGGAUGUUUAAGUCAGUUGUGAAAGUUUGCGGCUCAACCGUAAAAUUGCAGUUGAUACUGGAUAUCUUGAGUGCAGUUGAGGCAGGCGGAAUUCGUGGUGUAGCGGUGAAAUGCUUAGAUAUCACGAAGAACUCCGAUUGCGAAGGCAGCCUGCUAAGCUGCAACUGACAUUGAGGCUCGAAAGUGUGGGUAUCAAACAGGAUUAGAUACCCUGGUAGUCCACACGGUAAACGAUGAAUACUCGCUGUUUGCGAUAUACAGCAAGCGGCCAAGCGAAAGCGUUAAGUAUUCCACCUGGGGAGUACGCCGGCAACGGUGAAACUCAAAGGAAUUGACGGGGGCCCGCACAAGCGGAGGAACAUGUGGUUUAAUUCGAUGAUACGCGAGGAACCUUACCCGGGCUUAAAUUGCAGAUGAAUUACGGUGAAAGCCGUAAGCCGCAAGGCAUCUGUGAAGGUGCUGCAUGGUUGUCGUCAGCUCGUGCCGUGAGGUGUCGGCUUAAGUGCCAUAACGAGCGCAACCCUUGUUGUCAGUUACUAACAGGUUCCGCUGAGGACUCUGACAAGACUGCCAUCGUAAGAUGUGAGGAAGGUGGGGAUGACGUCAAAUCAGCACGGCCCUUACGUCCGGGGCUACACACGUGUUACAAUGGGGGGUACAGAGGGCCGCUACCACGCGAGUGGAUGCCAAUCCCAAAAACCUCUCUCAGUUCGGACUGGAGUCUGCAACCCGACUCCACGAAGCUGGAUUCGCUAGUAAUCGCGCAUCAGCCACGGCGCGGUGAAUACGUUCCCGGGCCUUGUACACACCGCCCGUCAAGCCAUGGGAGCCGG